CAAACAAAACAUUCCCUUUGAGUAGCCUGAGGUGUAUAAUUAUCAUGACGUCUUUUGGGUUGCACUGAUUAUGGACCAGACUGACAAGAGAUUAUGAGAAAGGAAGAGAAGACUGUGUUCCUCCCACGCCAGCAGGCCUCGUUUGCCGAGUUGAUGUACGUUAGGAUGUAAUCCAAACUGGGGAGUCAGCCAUUUGCCUAACCCCUUAGCUGAAAUCGUCAGAACCAGCUUGAGAUUCUGUGUGCCCACUCAUCACCUUUGCACAGUCACCAUCAACCGCACAAAACACAAGUUCCACGUCCAAUAAGGAAACUCAAUUUAUGCAAAAUGCGUUCAGACCCAGAUAGUAGUACAAGUAUGGAAAAAGUAAAACAGUGGAAUUCAAGUGUCAAGCAUUGCUGGCAAUGGAAUGCAGCAGGGACCUCUCAUCCAGGAUUUGGGACCACCUAAAACCAGGUGGGACUCGGCCUCUCCCGUCAGGGACUUGCAGGCCCUGGCAACAGCGCUGAGAAAAGGCAGCCACACCCUUGUGCAGUGCCCUCCCUGGGCAGCUCCGAGGGCCACCCGCUGCCCAGCAAGAUCCCUGUGGCAGAGCUCAUGCUGUCCUCAGAAGACCUUUUUAACCUUAUUAUUAUAUUUUUGCUUUUUAGCUUCAGGAAAGCUGCCAGAAAAUCAGGAGUAUUUUUGUUUCACAUGAACUACAGCACAGUUUAAGGCAUCAACGUAGAUGAGAAUAAGCUCAACCAACUUCCAGUGACCCGUUUGGCACCUACAGGGAGCAGGCCCAUUUAGCGUGCAGCGACCACUGCAGAGGCGCGGCCCCAAGGCUGACCAAUCCCAUGGCAUCACAGCCGCACGUGGCGUGAUUACUGACUUACUACAUUUCACCUGCGUGAUGCAGCCCAAAGGGAUUGAAAACAGCCAUUAAACUAUCUUUAAAAAUGUUUUGUUAAUAAAGGUAUUAAAACCAGAUAGAUGCUUGAAAUAGGAGAAAUCUACCUCCAUCUAAAAUUACCUAUUUUAGUCCUAAUUCCUAGAAAAACUGUUGCUGAGCCACACACACGAGUCAGCAACCAACCUGCAAACCCCGAGGGCAGACACGGCCCCGGGCAGCGUCAGCACCCCACCUUUGCCUCGCUGUCAUGGCUCGCCUCUGCCUCUGGUAAUUCCAGCUUAUUUUGAAGGCACAUUGUAGUUUUAAAAGGAAUACUGGACAAAAAGUGAUGCACAGAUUCAGAAUCAAACUCAAAUCAUAAUACAUGGCAAGAUGACAUCCCCAGUUUAGCAUGCUACGCAGCCCCUGCUGUACAAGGACAUUACUGCACAAAGCACUCGGAUUCCCCACAGGAUGCCAAAAAAUUCACAUUUUCCUGUGGAGUGGUCCAGCCUUCUAAAAGCUCUUCACAGCUUGCCCUUGCUGGACUCUGGGCACCGUGAAACAACUCAAUAAACUGAACAAGACUUCGUGUUUAACUUAAAAAAAAAAAUGUAACUCACGUGAACAUGGAAAAAAACGAACCACAGGAAUGCUUCUUACCUCUGCGGAUCCAGCUACCUUUGUCUUGGAGGCAGCUGAGUCACUUUUGCCCUGUGAAAACGGAAACGAAGAAAGAACUCCUUUAAGUCACAGGACAUAUUUACAGUCAGCAACUUCAUUAGCAAGGGCAUUACUACCAUACUCACCAGGCCUGUGAGCUUUUUGUUUCUAAACAUUAAUCUCCACAUCAUUUUAAAUAACUGGAGGAGUUUCUUUCGCGUUCAGGAAGCCCUUUAGUGAAAGCCUACAGAAGAAAGGAACUUGCGACUUUUGCACAACUUUUAAAAUUUAGCCAAAGGAAGUGAUGGUGUUCCCAUCACCAACCUCAAACCUCAACGGAAAGAAAGUCACUCUUGCAAGCUCCCAAUGUACAGCAUUUAUCUUCCGAGCUGCACAUCAGUGGUGAGCAGGCAAAUGCUUUCAGGUGACUCUAAACUUUAGUCUACGGAAGAAACUCAUUCCAGCUCUUUUAAUCUGUAGAUUUCAUCUUCAUCCGUAAAUACGCUCGCAUACAACUAGUUAAAAUUCCAAUCAUCCUUGGUCCCAAGGCUUAAACCCGGAAGCGCAUGUGUCUAGGGGGCCUUUCUUCUUCCCAGGCCUCUUUUUGGCCAGCAUGGUUUGGAGGUGACCUGAAGAUUUUACUCAGCAAUGUGGUUUUAGGACCGUUGAGAGCACAGACAACGGCUACCCUUACUCCUGCACGUUCCAUACUGCAGGGGCCACAUUUCCAUUUUCUACUUUCUCCCUUAGCCUUUUCCUGCCACAUUUCUCUUCUGUUCUCUGUUCCUUGGCUGAUACCCACUGAAAUAUAAGAGAUGAAGGAAGAAGCCAAAAUUCAAAUAAAAUCUCCUUUGCCCCUACUGAUGACUGCCGUUCAAGUGUCAGAAGACAGAGGGUGGGAAUCACCACCUAAAUGAAAUGAAAAGGCUAACAGGAGAUGCCAGCGGCCUCUGCUGCCUCACAUGGCCCUCGGUUGUCAUGAGUCAGCACGGCUUUGGGGCUGGCUCCUCCCGAGUGUGCCAUGAGGAAAGGGGUCCAGCGGGACCGCUGUGAGAGAAACCCCUGCGCUGCGGGUGCCCAUUCUCACCUCAGCCUACACCGCGUCUGUCCUCCAACACAGCCGAUGAGUGGCCGGUUUAUUGAGCUGAGCCUACACCGCCUCCGGCCUCCAACACAGCUGAUGAGCGGCCGGUUUAUUGAGCUGAGCCUACACCGCCUCGGGCCUCCAACACAGCUGAUGAGCGGCUGGUUUAUUGAGCUGAGCCUACACUGCCUCGGGCCUCCAACACAGCUGAUGAGCGGCCGGUUUAUUGAGCUGAGCCUACACCGCCUCUGGCCUCCAACACAGCUGAUGAGCGAGCGGCAGGUUUAUUGAGCUGAGCCUACACUGCCUCGGGCCUCCAACACAGCUGAUGAGCAGCAGGUUUAUUGACCUGAGCCUACACCGCCUCGGGCCUCCAACACAGCUGAUAAGCAGCAGGUUUAUUGAGCUGAGAAUCAUAGCUCUAUGUGUUUAUUCUUGUUUUAUGUCCCUAACUGGACAGUAAUUAAUAACUGGCAGGAAUGCAGUUUCUAAUGCUGACUUUACCACUUGUUUUUGCCAUUUAUGCACCUGUUUGUAUCGUACUGGGUGCGUACAAGUGAGCCUAUGUGGGGUUUCUACCCAGCAGCCCUUCUCCCCUCCAGGCGAGCACUCCCUUUCUUUCUAUGGGACCCUAGUUCCAUGGAGUCCAGGUGGGAAUGGCCCUGCCCCACCCCAUCCACCCACCACCGGGAGAAAGGUCCUAGCAGGGCUCCCGCAGAGCUGACAGCCCCCUUGUCCUGGGAUGGCCAGCCUGGCAGAUGACCUAAGUCUGGGGUUUGUGCUUGCUCUGCCUUGGAAAUGUGCCUGCCUGAGAAUGGAGUCUAGCAAGGAGGAAGAGAAAUUCAGUGUCCUGCUGACAGCUUUGGACCCUGGGAUUCAGACCCACCAGAAACCAUCUCUUUUCAAUGGUGUGAGCCAACAAACUGCCAAUUUUUACUUAAGAAGGUUUGAUUCUGUUUCUAUAACUUGAAAAAGAUGGUGAGACCCGAUGGAACAUAAAUGACGCUUCUUACAGAAAAAUACCUUUGCAUGAAAAUCCCAAAUGUGCCACAACGUUGUGGCUUCACCCAUCACCUCAUUCCACUCCAUAACCAACCCUCAGGGCAACCAGCUCUUCAAAGGAAGUGCCCCACAGAUGGCGCUACCAAGCCUGGCCGUCAGGACACCCCUGAGACUGUGCAUCUGGGGUAUGCGGUGCUUGGGGUCCCCCAUAAAAAGACACAUUACUAAAUGUUCCAUAUUGUCAUGUUUAGAAUCAAUGCCUUUCCCUUCUCACUUCCUGGACUCUCUACUUUGCGAACAACAUUAAGAAUGUUAAUUCCCCUGAAUUAAACAGGGGAAUCUGGAAUGACUUGGACAUUAAACGAGGAUUCUCCAGCCA